CGCAGAUACCAGCUGGCUGCAACUGUUUAUUAAAAACACAGCACUGUGCAAACACGAAAGUGGACGUAUACGGUGUGACGCCUGCCCGGUGCUGGAAGGUUAAUUGAUGGGGUUAUCCGUAAGGAGAAGCUCUUGAUCGAAGCCCCAGUAAACGGCGGCCGUAACUAUAACGGUCCUAAGGUAGCGAAAUUCCUUGUCGGGUAAGUUCCGACCUGCACGAAUGGCGUAAUGAUGGCCAGGCUGUCUCCACCCGAGACUCAGUGAAAUUGAACUCGCUGUGAAGAUGCAGUGUACCCGCGGCAAGACGGAAAGACCCCGUGAACCUUUACUAUAGCUUGACACUGAACAUUGAGCCUUGAUGUGUAG
rnacentral:rRNA from 1 species